UGGGGAAUAUUGCACAAUGGGCGCAAGCCUGAUGCAGCCAUGCCGCGUGUAUGAAGAAGGCCUUCGGGUUGUAAAGUACUUUCAGCGGGGAGGAAGGUGUUGAGGUUAAUAACCUCAGCAAUUGACGUUACCCGCAGAAGAAGCACCGGCUAACUCCGUGCCAGCAGCCGCGGUAAUACGGAGGGUGCAAGCGUUAAUCGGAAUUACUGGGCGUAAAGCGCACGCAGGCGGUCUGUCAAGUCGGAUGUGAAAUCCCCGGGCUCAACCUGGGAACUGCAUUCGAAACUGGCAGGCUAGAGUCUUGUAGAGGGGGGUAGAAUUCCAGGUGUAGCGGUGAAAUGCGUAGAGAUCUGGAGGAAUACCGGUGGCGAAGGCGGCCCCCUGGACAAAGACUGACGCUCAGGUGCGAAAGCGUGGGGAGCAAACA
rnacentral:rRNA from 2 species